GAAGAGUCACAGAGGGCUAAAAAGAGGAGGGGAGGAGAAGAAGUGGGAGAGAGAGAGAGAGAGAGAGAGAAUACAGCCCCCUCACAAAUCUUAUCGCAUCUGCUCUGGCUCUUCUCUGUCUUUCAUUUUCACAUUUUCACAUUCCUUUUGUUCAAGAGAAAAUCAUAUCCACACGUCACAUCUUUUUAUUAUUCAUUUGGAGCAUUACGUUCAAGACAGUAAACCUAAUGCACUGCAAACUUUUCCUCACAAUAAGUGCGUUGUCUCCUUUUGUUCUGAAAUAUAAAUGUAUAAGUCAAACCAGCGUAUCUACGCUAAAGGGCUAACUAAUGCCCACCAAGCUCUCCAAAACACCUGGAGCAUAAUACUCAGGUUGUUGUCCUGCUGGAAGGUGAAUCCAUCUCCCAGUGUCUGGUGGAAAGCAGACUGAACCAGGUUUUCCGCUAGGAUUUUGCCUGUGCUUCACUCCAUUCUGUAUCUUUGUAGUAACUGGGUGUAUUGAAACACCAUCCAAAGUGUAAUUCAUAACUUCACCUUCCUCAGAGGGAUAAUAGAUGUCAUUUUUUUCUCUCCCGCAUCUACAAAUAAGUGCCCUUUGCGAGGCAUUGGAAGACCUCCCUGGUCUUUGUGGUUGAAUCUGUGUUUGAAAUUCAUUGCUUGACUGAGGGACCUUACAGAUAAUUGUAUGUGUGGGGUACAGAGAUGAGGUAGUCAUUCAUGCAACUUAUGCAACUUAUUAUGUGACUUGUUAAGCACAGUUUUACUCCUGAAUUAUUUAGGCUUGCCAUGAGAAAGGGGUUGAAUACUUAUUGACUCAAGACAUUUCAGCUUUUCAUUUUUUAUUAAUUUGUAAAAAUGUCUAAAAACAUAAUUCCACUUUUACAUUAUAGGCCAGUGACAACAAAUCUCAAUUGAAUCAAUUUUAAAUUCAGCCUGAAACACAACAAAAUGUGGAAAAAGUCUAGGGGUGUUUAUACUUUCUGAAGAAAGUGUAUAUGUCUACCCUGAAAGGCUGUGCUGAAGCACAAGUACAUUGUUUUAACCAUUGAAUAAGUUGUAUUGCAAUAAACUGAG
rnacentral:lncRNA from 1 species